rnacentral:rRNA from 2 species
UUGACCUCGAAUCAGGUAGGGAUACCCGCUGAACUUAAGCAUAUCAAUAAGCGGAGGAAAA